UUUUCUUUUUUUCUUUGGUUUAAUUUUAGUUUGGUCUCUCGUGAAUUGACUAUCUUCAAAUAACCCCUUUUUACUUUUGAAAACCUCAAUCUGCUCUCUUUUUUUCCUAAAAAAUUUUUUUAAAAAAAUCAUCAAUGUAUCUCAUUUAUCCCUCAUCUUUUGAAUAAAAAAGAGAUAACUUGAAAUUUUAAAAAUUAAGGCAGGCAAUUAAAAAAUAGUGAAUUCAUGAAGAGAUAGGCCAGAUUUCAUUAGGGUGUAUGGUCAAGAUACUAUUCUUUGUAAUGUUAAAUGUUGUUAAUAAUCAAUCACUAACGUGUAUUUAUUCAAAUUAAAGCUCAGAUUAUAUGAGAGGAUUUGAAUAUCUUUGUCCAUUUUUACCCCCCGCUUUCUCUAUGUCUUUGGCUGAAAGAAGACGAUGAUAUUGACUUUGUGUUAAUUUUUUUAUUGAAGGAUUAAGUUGACUUUAAGAGCAAGUAAAACCGGUUGUCGAUGUAACUUCUCUCCAAGGUAGGACAAUGACUUUAUAAAUGGUGAAUUGGUCGCUCCUCUCACAUUCAAAACUGGCAUUAGACUGGAAUUUUGAAAAAGAAAUAUUAACUGAUGUGUUACCAAUCAAAGUCAAAUCUUGAAGUUCAAAUCAAACAAUUAACAAUCCCAUGAAAAUGGAAGCACUGGCCCAGUAGAAUUUGCUUUGAAGUCCUCAAACCUCCCAAUUCACUGAUGAGAUUUUUUGGGUUUCUUUAAGAGGACCCUUUAGAUACAGAUAUGAUGGUGACAAGCUCCAAAAUUCAAAUGGGUUUUACUUAUUCUAUUUUUCCAUAUUAAUUCAAAUUAGUUGACAUGUCACGAGAUGCUGGAGACCUAAACCACUGUCAGCUGUCAUGAAAUUAAUAUGGGUUUACCGAACACUGCAUGCCGCUUAUCUCGUCCUGGCCAUAAGCCUCCAACAAUUUUAUUUUGGAAGGGCUUUCAAAGUUUUUUUUUUUUAAUUAUUAAUUGUAUAUUUUAUAGUUGCUAUAUUAUCAAAAAUACUAUAAUAUUUUAAGAGUAUAUCAAUCGUCUACAUUAAAUUGACAAAAACUAUCUGUCGAUCAUCAAACCGUUAGCUGCCGUUUGAAAGUUAACGAAAUUAUAGUGAAUUAAUGAUUUUACCUUUGAAACAUAAAUUAAAGUAGUAAAAGAAAAUUAUCAUUUGUAUACUUUUAAAUUAUUACUUGUAUCAUAUAAAAAGACUAAAUUACCCCUUGACAUCAUCUUAUUUAAACGGCAAGUAACAAUUUAGUGGAAGGUAGAUACAUUUUGUCAACUUAGGGUGGACGAUUGAUAUACCCUCAAAGUGUUGUAAUAUUUUUGAUAACAGAGCAACUAUAGGGUUAUACAAAUGAUAAUUUCCCUUUUUAACUUUUUUUUUAAUUAUUCGUUUUGAUUUUUUUUUUAUAAAAAAAGCAUUUUCAAUAAAUAUUUGACUUAAAAUGAGAAGUUUAUGAUUUAAACUCGCUUGCAUGAGAGGUGGUUUUAAUUGCUACUUAAGCGCUAAAAAAAAAAAACUCUUUACCUUAUCAAAGAGUUUUUCCUUCUUAUGAAAAAAAAAUAUUUACAAUAAUCAAAAUAUAAACAACUUAGAAAAAUCAGAAAAAACAAUAGUUUAAAUAUAUCUGUUUAGGAAACGGUAACAAUAAAAAUAAAGUAUAACAUUCAAAUUUGUAGAUAAAGAUAGACGAGAUGAUUUUGAUAGAGCAAUUUAUAACAAAAGUACGCUCUCAACUCUCAGAGUACGGGAAUACAGAAUUAAGCUCAAAAUUGAGUGCUUAAUUGAAAUUUUAGAAACAUGAAGUCUGAAAUUAGGUUAUAAUUAUAAAAUAAAGCUCAAAAUGGUAUGCAAUUACUAGAACACCCUCAAGUAGGGAUGAAGCCAAGACUUUGGCCUAGGAAUGGCAAUUUAAAAACUUUGUAUAAUUUCACUAGCAAAAUACGUCACAACGUUCACAAGGAGUAAUUUGGAAAUGUUUAUAAUUAAUAAAGGAUAGUGUGGAAAAUCUUAAAAUUACAGGGAACAAUGGGAAAGAUGUUUCAAUAUAAGGGGCGUCUACAAUCUGUCCUUAAUUGGCCCAAUGUGACUCGGCCUUGCCACUAAUCGAGCACAACCAAUCGUGUAGGGCAUUAGUGCGCAAAUUGAGUGUAGUUGUCGCGUAAAAUUUUAAAAUAAUGCAUGUUUGUUUGUAUAACUUUAACACUUUUCGGGGAAUAUAUAAAAAAAUAUUAUAAAUAAAACCUCAAAUAUGGUAUUAAAAAUUAGUUGAGGACCCAAUUGAUAAACCAAAUUCUAAGAGGGAUAAAAGUGUUAUUCUCUCUUUUUUUAUUUUUUAUUUUUUUUAUUUUUCCAUCCAGUUGUAGUUGUGAUUGUGAAUAAAAAAGUUUUGAAUUUUCUAAUACCACAGAAAGUCCCAGCCCAUGAGUCUUUACAAAACAAAAUGGUUUGUUAUUGGUAAACCAGAAUUAUAUAUAACAGUUAAAUGGUGGUAGAGUUUUGACUAUCACUUUCAUUUCCAACUGCAAAUCUUACAUAUACUUUUUAAUUGAUGAACUAGUUUGAUCGAACUCAAAUUCAUGUUUCUAGAAGAUAAUUUUUUAAAAGACGUUUUAAUUUAAUCAUACCUAAUAUCAUGUAAGGACGUGUUUAAUGCGCGUAAGCCAUGUUUAGUGGAGAACCCACUUGAUUAAUUAAGAAAAUAAUUCAAUUAGAUAAUGAUUUUUAAGCUGAAUUCUUUUUUUUUUUUAUUAUGACAACAAGUGAUCGCGCCGAUGAUAAUAACCGAAAGUCAUGGGUCAUGAUGAAAUACACGAAACAAAAAACUGAAGCAGUUGAGAGUUUUUGUAGUUUUACUAGAUUUGGUAACAAAUUUAUGUAUACACUGACGUCAUUCCUCUCUCCAAACAAUUGUGCACCGUUGAGAGCCUCAUUUCAAAAUUUGCAUAUUACAUAAGUUUGCAUGUUUUCAACUCUUGUUCUUUUUUUUUACACAAAGUAAGAUCAUAAAAUUAAUGUAAAAAAAAUGAAAUUCAUUUGAAAUUGAAGUAUUGUAACUUUUAAUUUAAGUUUAAGAAUUAAGUUGAAGCACAACAGUUAAAACGUGCUCGAUAAGCGUUUUCGUGAGCCUAAUUGGUAUAUUAUGAACAUGAUGGAAAAAAAACAAAGGGGAGAAAGUAUUUAUAAACCUGUAUAUGGAUUAAUAUUUUUUAAUAGUGUUUUGUAUUUACACCGAUGAACGCCAGAUUCUUCCCUCAAGUGAAAUGAUAAUCACAGAGACAUCAUCAUGGUAUAUCCGGCGAUCUCCUUGUGGGAUAUCAAGCAAUUCAUGGAAGUCCAUUCCUGCAAUUUUGUAACCAAAAUUCAAGAUUAGUGAACUAGCUUAGGCGUAGAUUAGAAUGGAUAAGCUUGUUUAGCUAUGUUUUCAACUGUUAAAAAUGGUCUUACCAGCUUUCUUAGCUGCGCGAAAUAGUACUUCUUCGAUGAGAUGCUGUGCUGGAUCUCCUUCGGGGAAUGCAGCAAGGAAGGAUUCAACUUCGGAGACAGCUUCUUCACUGGUGAAGUACUGAUAGAGUCCAUCCGAGGACAAGAUCAAAAACUUGUCCCUUGGAUUGAGUCUGUGAUGAUAGACUGAAGGAUUGCAAGUGAUGUAUGGCGAGGUGCCAAUGUAAUUGAUUCUGAACAUCUCUAGCAAAGCAUCAUUCCAUUUUGGCUACAAAAUUAUAUUAAAAAAAAAAAACGAGGACUUAGGGAUCAUCAUAACAGAGGAAGCUAAAUGGAACUUUGAAUAAUUAGGCACACCUAACUUAGUAGUAUAGCUUGCAGGGUUGUUUAGAUUAUGCCUACAAGAUAAUGAGCUUAAAAUGUUAAAUUACCUGUUUGAGAAAUCCAGCGCCGAAAGCUCGAGUGACCUUCAAGUAACCUUUAACUCUGUCAUUCAUUACAGCAGAAUCAUCAUCUGGAUGUUCGUUCUUAAUUCUCCUAACUUCCUGCAAUCCAAGAGGCCUAUUAGUUCAUAUCAAACAAUAACAUGAAAAACGACUCAAAUAGAGUAUCCGGUAAAGCAUAUCACCUCUUCCUCAUGAGUGCUGUGAUCCGUAGUGAGCUGAAGUGAUGUCAAGUUAUUGAAUCUAUCCAAGUCAUCACCAUCAAGCGCCUCGUGAUCAUGCAUAGUUUCCUCGUUGAUUCGUUUCAAAUCCCUCCCCGCCUUCCCUAACCCGAUAUUGGGCUCAAAUUUCCAACCUAAAACCGCCCUGCUGUCCCCAACAUUCAUCAAAUACACAUCCUCACCUUUCAUCAACAUCACCAAAACGCAGGAACCCAUCAAAGCCAACUCAGGAUUCUCCAUUACCAUCUUAUCCGCAACCUCCAAAUACGAGUCCUCUGUUUUCUUCAACGCCUGCGAUAACGCCUUCAACACAUCCGAAUGAAUAUCAUUCACCCCAUUCGAUCCCUCACAAUUCAACUUCCUCUCAAGCUCUAAAUUUUCCCUAUCCCAAGCAAAAUCAACACAUUUCUUUACAAUUCCUUUGUUGCUGUUACCUUUCAUUUUUCUCUCCGAAUCGUCGUCCAAUGGGAAAAUCUCUUUCUGGGUUUCAUCAGAUGAACUCGAUUCCAGCUUAUCAUUCCAAAGAAGCCCUUUGAGCUCUUUAUGAACAGCAGGGUACAAAUUGUUGAUCAAAUAAUCAGGGGCAUCAGGACCGUUAAACCCAUCAUAAAUCCCAACAAAAACCCACCCACGUUCUUCAGAAACAACGAUUUGCAUCCGAUCCUCCCCAGCUUUGCCUUGUGCCCAUUGCAGAUUUUGACUCUUCAUAGAACAGAACUCGCCAUCAUCAUCAUCAGUCACUACGACACCGUUUUCAUUGUUUAAGCUCGCACGGCUGCUCAAACGGUCACUACCUGUCUCAUUAUUAUUUCUCUCGGAUUCCAAAUCUUUUGCCCCUUGAGAAGACUUAUUAUUAUUAAUCAUCAUCCCACGAGAAAUUGUUUUUGAUAUCGCCCGCUUGAAAAUCUUCAGCAAGCCCUGUUUUUUGGACUUGCUUUUACUGUUUAUUCCAUUUUGAGAUGAGUUUCUCUGCAACUUAUCAGUGAUUGGACCCGAAUACAACCCACGAUCAAUGGGUCCGGAUAGGUACCCACGCUCGAUGGGACCCGACAAGAAGCCUCGCUCGAUCGGACCGGAGGUAGAAGAACCCGACCCGGACUGAAACGAUCGGCGUGGGACCGGCUGGAGAGGGAGAGAAGCGAAGGAAUCGGAGCUCUCGAAGGUGGCGCUGUUGCUGCUGUACGGCCAGGAGUAGUCGAUCAAGGCCGUCGAUAGAGUCUGCGUGGACGUGUUGGCGCUGACAGAGGCGCCGGAUAUUGAGCUGAAAAACGUCGCCGUUUGGACAACAGUGUUGGUUGUGGUGGCCGCGGCGGUGGUGGGAUGAUGAUAAUACUCUGUAUGGACUUUGGACGAUGAUGAGGCAGAGAGACGGGGCGGGUCGGGCCGGAUGUAGCAAAACGAAUGGCCCAGACCCUCCCGCAGCGGGUCCCCCAUAAUGACGGCGAUCUCGUGACGGCUCGUUACUUCACCUACGAAGCAGUGGCCAAAUUUCCCGAUUCCGUUACCCAUAACAGAAAUUACAAAAUUUGAAGAAACAAAUAACAAAAAAGAACAAGUGUGUUUCUUUUCUUUCCUUUUUUUUUUUUUCUGGGUGGUUUGGCAAGGAGCCAAGUACUAGAGUGGUUUCAUUUCACAGCAUGUGUUUUGUGUUUAAUAUGUACUUGUGUUUCAGAGGGAGAAGUGAAGAAAUACGACAGAGAGAGAGAGAAGGAGUUGACUUUUGAGUUUGUUCGUUUGUUUGUUUGUUUCUUACUUUUUUUUGAAAUGUUAUUUAAAUUUUUAGUUUAUUAUUUAUUGGAGAGUUGACCUUUUUCUUUAAUAGAGAAGCGCGUGGGGGUUUUGGAGGGAAAUUGAUAUUAAACUAUCAGCACACCGCAAAAGUCAAAACCUAAUGAGUUCAAGCUUAUUUUAAGGAUAAGUUGGUCAUUUUAGUAAGUAUCAUGGGAUUUAUUUCUUAAAUUAAAGUUUGAACAAAAAUAAUAAUAAACUGUAUCUUUAGGGAUCCGAAUGUUAUUGCCCCUUUAAAAACUUAAAAAUUAAGGAUUUCUAAGUGAUUUAGCUGCCUCCUAUCCUAUCUGCAUCGAAAAUCCUAAGUAUUGCCGUGCACUUGGCAACUUCUUUGUUUUGUUUUUAUUUAUUUAUUUUCUUACACGAAUUGAAUCAUCCCGAUCUUGAUAAGACCGAUGCUUAAGAUGCUUCUAAUUUGAGCUUCUUCCGUAAAAAAAUUCAAGUGAUAAUUAAUGGUUAAUAAUUUAAAAUUUUCUAAAGAUAUAUUUUAUCAUGUUCAAAUGAAAUUAUAAAUGCCCUUAUAAGGUUUAUUAUUUUAUUAUUUUAAAUUCAAAUCCUUUUAAGAAUAUCUCAUCUAUUUAUUAUUUUUAACCCGACUGUAAAAUUUAAAGCAAGCACAAAUAUCCAAGUUAAUGAAAUCCACUAAACAAAGGCCCAAUCGAAGGAAUCUAUUAAACACAUUGUUUAACGAAAACAAAAUAAAUAUCCAAAAUCAUAUUUUAGCCUUUCAUGAUUUGAGUAUUUUGUUGCCUUUCUUUUAAAAGAUAAAGCCUUGAUUUCUAGAUAAAACUCAGAAAUAGAAUAUAGGCAUCACUGUUUCUUCGCAUUUUAUACUGGAAAAAAAGAUUGUUCAUGCGGAUUCAAUUUUUUAGGUACGCCCAUACAUAUAUUAUUAUUUAAAAAAUGGAUAAUGUAAAAUUUUAAAAACUCAGAAAAACUCAAAUUAAGAGACUAUACUUAAUCAUACUCACAAGACUUAGGUCUAAUUAUACAUGUGAUUAUAAAUAUUUUUUUUUAUUUUUAAGUGACGUGACAUUUAUUUAUGAUUAAUUAAUACAGUACAAUAUAGGCAUGAUUUCAUACUUGUUCAAAUUUUAUUAUAUAAAUUUAGAUAAUAAACUGUAGCAUUAUUUUUAAAAAGAAUUAAUGAGAUUCUAUCGUACAACUAAAAUUCAAAUUAAAUAAAUAUAUCUUUUGACGAUUCUAGAACAAAGUGGUUUAUUUUAUGUAAUAUCGUCAUUUGUUCAAUUUUUUUGAAAUAAAACUGAUCACGAUUUAUUGCGAUCCCACAUCUUCAUUAAUGGUUGUACGAAUUUUCUUCGACCAACUCAACACAAACGAUAUCAAAUCUCUCUCUCUCUCUCAUUUUUAUUGUUUUAUUUUUUCUUGUUGGAAUAAAAUUUUAUCUUUUUUCAAAAGUUUGCCAAAAAUAAUAGCCACCCUAGUUGAUAAGUUCAAACUUUGAAAUAAUCGGACAAUUUUGGUGUGCCCUGUUCCUAAUUUUGAACGGGUUAAAUCAAUUAUAUAACCGAUACUGUGAAUUGGUGCCGCCCUUGGAAAUAUUCUUCUUGCUAGUAUUUGUACACGUAUAUUCCCAAAAAAAUAAUAAUAAACAUGUAAAUUGCUUUAUCUCUAUCUUCAAGCCAUUGCCAAAACUUUUUUUUUUUUUGUUGAAUUCAUUUUUCUUAAAAGAAAUGGCAUCAUGUUAGUGACCACUAUCAAUAAUAUUCUAAAAAAAAAAUUAUUUCCUUUUUCGGGGAGAUUUUAUUAUGGCCAUGUUGAACCAAGGAACCCAAAAGAGAUUUUAUUACAACUUUUAGAAGUGUACUUAAAUUGACUCUCAAACGAUCAAAAUCUGCAUGGGGAAUAUCCAUUACAACACUAGACACUGUAGAUGAUUUCGAAACCCUAGCUUCUUGCUGCUUUGCAGCUUAUCAAUGCAUGAAGGGUAUCUAUCUUCUUCAAAAUCAAAUCUUCACUCUUAGACGAAACUACAUCUCAAAUAAUUUUUUCAUUAUCAGUCACAAGUUUUUUAUUUUAUACAUAAUUUAUGUUUUUUUUUUUCGUGUAUGUUAAGAAAACUUGGAAUAGUAAUAUUAUUACCAUUAACAAAUUUUUUUUUUUGUUAUUGUAGCUAGCGAAUGUAGAUAUUGCUCCUGAUGGAGUAUAUCAAGGCCUAGCAUUUGGGUAAGAUGUUAUGUAUUGCUCUCCAAACAAAUUUCCAAAAUCCUGAGGAGUCUGUUGAUGAUGAGGGAGGGUAGCUUAUGUUCUUUUGAUGGAGAGCCGCCAGGUGUCCACUUCGUCGGCCUUUUAAUUUAAGUUAUUUUCCUAUCUUUUUGCAUCUAAUUUUACGUAGGCAUUCCUACCCAAUAAUAAUAAUAUAUAUUCUCUGUUAUCAAUCUUAAAGUGUAAAAAAUGCACUGUGAUUCUGAUAUAUAUACAUAAUUUUGUCCUAGAUUGGCCUAAUUAAUUCUAAUAGCCAUAGGCCUCUGCAAUGAUUUUAUAAGUCCCCCAUUUGGUGAAACUUUUGUUGUGGAGAUUAUUGAUAUCUACUUAAACUCCUGGCUGAAAUGCCUCCAGAACUGGUUCCGGCCAUGCUAUGCAAAGGAUUAGAUAUUUCUUCUUUCUUUUCUUCAAGUUCUAUCGUAGAAAUUUUAGAGUAUAUCAGAAGUUUCUUGUGUACCAUAUCACAACAAAUGAUAUUAUGUUAUGUAUUCAUUUAUUUUAAAAAACUGACAUCCAAGUGGUAAUUUUAAUUAUUAAAUUUAACUACAUAUGUCACACAUUCAAUUAUUGGCUGUAUUAUCUCUAAUGUACUGUAUACUUUCUUCUUUUAUAGAUCCCGCUCGUCUAUCUUCUAUUUGAUUGGGUAAACUAAUAAGCCUACAUUUGCUUACAACGUCUUUUCUGAUAACCAUAUGUUUACAACUUCAAAUCUAUUGAAAAUUUGAAUUAAUAUAAUUUAUCAUACGUUCCAAAGAUCUGUCGAGUAUAGAUUGAAAAUUUACCCCAAAAAAGAGGCGAGGCCUCAAACUAAUAUAUUGGAAGAUAAAUAUUCCUCUUCCCACAAAUGUGGGAGAGGAUAACAACUGAGUUCCAAGAGGAGACUCUGCCCUCACCGAAGCGUGUCGGUCUUGCAGUAUCCUUAAAUCCUUGAAUUGAUUCCCACCUCUACGUGGGUGCAUAACAGAAGUUGUGACCGAAGGAAUAUUUUAAUUUCAUUAGCUGUCCCUAGAUUUUUUGGCCACUUUUUCUUUUUUAUUUUUAGGGGGAACUUAUUCAUUCUUAGCUGAUCACAUCUACCUUAAUAAGCAUAAGAGACUAUCAACAAGUUAAUGUGCUCUGGAGGUCUUUUGUUUAGGAUUAAAAGUCUUUAGAAAUCCAAUAAAGCCUCUAAUUUGUUACAUAGAAUGUUAUUCUCAAUUGAAAAUUUAAAUUUUUAUCACACAACAUCAUAAGUUGGAGAUAAUAAUAAAAACUUGAUGGUGUGAGUAAAAAUUUAGAGUUUUCCAAUAGAGAGUGGGAGGUUAUAACUGCAGAUAUAUAUACCAUAAUCAUUGAUAGUGCAUAGCUCUAUUGAGUAACAAAAGACUCCAAGUAGGGUAUUAAUGAUUUCAUCUAAAAGAUUGAGGUGUUAUUUAUUUGCUGGAUGGAUAAUAAAUUCUCUUACAUACAAAAUAAAAUAAAAAAUUUACUUGAUCCACUAAUUGAUGAAUGUACUCUUACUUCAGAUAAAAAUGGUUUGAAUACAAAUUAGAAAAAUAAUUAAAAAGUUUAGUAUUAUUCUUAAUAUAAUUAGCUUAGUUAAGGAGGAAUGAUGUUACGCAUAAAAAAGUUGAUAUAUAAAACUUUAGAUUUAUUAAAUUUUGUGUUUCAAUUAAUGCUCUCAAGGGUAGGGCUGGGCAAAAGCGGGUUCGGGUCAACUCGAUCGGGUUUCGGGUUUUUCGGGUCGGGUAAAAAUUAACCCGAAUUACUGACCCGACCCGAACCGACCCGAAUUCGGGUUGAAUCAGGUUCUGGUCAAAAUCGGGUCGGGUCAUUUCGGGUCGGGUCGGGUCAAAUCCGUUUAAUGCACUUUUAAGCUCUUUUUUUUCCUAUUUUUGUAGUUUUUAGGAUGGUUUUAAAACAUUGUUCUUAAUUGUAAUUCUUUUUACUAAUUUUCAACCAAAAAAAGAAAAGAAAAUACUAUUAAAUCAAAUGAAUAAAGUUAAAAUGCAAGAAUAUGAUAAUUUGCCUAUUGUCUUGGAGGGGAUUAGGAUUAUUAUUUGCUCAAGCAACGAAGUCCAAACCAAAAUUAAUAGUUUAAUACAAACUUACAAAAUCCAAAGUUAAUAAACUAUUAGUCUCCAUCACAAAAUUUAAACAUAAUUAAAUUGUUUGGAAACAAAUCACAAAGUUCGAACAUAAAAAUUAAAUAAGCUUCCAUGGUUCCUCCACCGCUCCACACAAGCACUUCGGCAAGUUCUAAAUUCAAAUUCUUGUACUUCAAAAUCAAGCGCCCUAGAGAAGGAUUGAAGAAAUAUAAAAUAAUUAUUUUCUUUAAGUCACGGUGCAAAUGAAUAAACUCAAUUCAUAUAAAAAAUUGAGCAAAUAAACCAGGUUCAUAUUUUUGCACAUCAAACUCAAAGACAAAUAAAUAAAUUCAAUUCAUAUCUUUAAUUAAGCUAAAUGGGUGUUACAAUCUCUGUAAUUUCUAUUAUAUCAUUAUAAAUUUAUAAUUACAAAUAAAUAUAAUAUGUUUAGCAAAUUUUUUGAUACACACACACACUUGAUUAUAUAUAUUAAAAAAAAUUAAGUCAAUCAUGCUUAUUUUAUGGCAUUCAUCACCAAAUCAAAUUAAUAAUAAUACUAGAUAAUAAUAAUAUUCUAUCAACUUCAACUUAUCUAACUAAAACAAUUAUAAAUUUAUAAAUUUAUAAUAUCAAAUUAUGAAUAAUAGUAUAUAUUAAAAGUUACCUUUCAAACAUCCAUAACACCCAUGUCAGCGCUCACUGCUUCCACUGUUGAAGCUUGCGCUCUUAUCAACUCUAUAAAAUCCAAAAAAAAAAAGAAAUUAGUAAGUAACUAAAGUUAAUGACUUCUUAGAGUAAUCCAAAAAAAGAAAUAUAUGAUAAAAAAAUUAAAAACAUUAUCUUCUUGUAAUUCCAUAUGAAACAUUUGCUCCUUAAUGUCUUCUUGAAGGUUGUAGACGAGAUUGGCAAAAAGUUUAGAUUGCAGCCAAUUUUCAAUACAUAUCAAUGCCUCAACCAUAGCCGGGGUUAAAGAACUCAUAUACUCAUCAAUAAUACGACACCCGGUGCUAAAGGCAGACUCAGAUGCCACUGUGGAAAUAGGAACAACGAGGACAUCCCUUGCAAUUAUCUCCAGAAUUGGAUACUUCGAUCCAUUGACCUUCCACCAAAGCAAAACAUUAAGUUUAAGAUUGCUUGGAUCUUCAACUGGGUCCUUCAAGUACCUUUCCACCUCAUAUGCUACUCUUUUGCUCUCAUUCUAAACAAAAACUUUCUUAGCAUAUCCAAGGAAAGGACGAGCAACUGAAAAAAUGUCAUCACCUUCACCACCCUCAACAUCAACCAAACUAGCCUCAGUUGUAAAACGUUGAGAAGAACUUAUACCACCAUAACUGCCACUAAGAUCACUCUCAUUAUACAUCGAUGGUGUGGAACUAGAGGAGGAUGCACUAUAUGCAUCACAAAGCUCAUUCAACAAGUCAUUUACUACUUUGGUCAUUUGCUCAACCAUCGAACUAUCAUUGUCAAAAAUGAUCUCAAAAAUAUGUUUAACAAAAUCCAAUUUCGCUCAUGGAUCAAGAAUAGAGGCAAUAAUCAACAUUUUGUUUAUCUUUCCUGUGGACUUCCAAUACUUAUCAAAUUUUUCCCUCAUACUAUAAGCCAUAGAGCACACUCAAGGAUCUGCACUUUCUUAUAGUGCAGUUAAUGAACUCUCAAUUAAGCCAAUAGUAUCAAUAUCAUAACAAAGAUUAGAAGUCACAUUUAAAGAGGCAGAAAAUAAUAAUGUGGCAUCAUAAAAUACCUUCAAAAACUUCACAAUUUGCUCAGCACUUUCCCAAUCCUCCGGUCCAGGUGGGCCCACCCUUUUAACAUUAUUUUAUUUCUCAACAAAAUAUACCUCAUAAGGUUUAUCCACUUUUGCCAUUACAUCACAUGCCGCUUGAAAUUUCAGCGCAGUCAUCAACAUUAAAUAAGUGGAAUUCCACUUGGUCGGACAAUCCAAAACAGCAAUUCCCUUUGGACCAUUCACCUGUUGAACACAUUGUUUGAAUGUCCGCAACCUCGUGGUGGAGGAUCUCACGUACUUUACAACAUUCUGAAUAGCGGCAACACUAAUAUGCAAUUCACCCAACCCUGAAACAACAAUUAAAUUCAAAAUAUGUGCACAACAACGCACAUGCAUAUAUUGUCCCGCCAACACAAGUGCAUCAUCAUUCCUCCAAGCAAGCAAAUGCAUAGUGACAUAAACAAUGGCAACAUCAUUUGUAGUGGCAUUAUCAGUAGUUAUUGCAAACAACCUCUCUAUCCCCCAAUCCUGUAAGCAAGCCACAAUCUUUUUGCCGAUCGACUUUCCUCUAUGAUCUUCGACUGCGCUAAAACUAAUAAUCCUCCUAUUCAAACACCAAUUACUAUCAAUAAAAUGAGCUGUAAUCACCAUAUAACUUAUGUUUUGAACAUAAGUCCAUGUAUCAGUUGUAAGAGACACCCGCUACUUGUUGUUGCAAAUCAAACUCUUGAACAUCACAUUUUCCUCCAAAAAUAACUCCAUAACAUCUCUACCAAUAGUUUUUCGAGAUGGCAUAACAAAUUGCGGGAUAACUACACUGCAGAAAAUGCCUGAAUCUUUUGUUAUCUAUAAAGCUAAGCAGCAACUCACCCAUAAUAAUCAUUUUAAUUAAUGCCCUUCGACACGUGUCUUAACUUCAUCCUUUACCCAAAACCAAAUUACUUGCAUUUUCUUCACCGCCCUCAGAUGUCAAAUUUUGUUGACUUCCACGUUGUUGUUCCCGAAAUGUCUUGUAUGUAUCACAUCCCUUUAGAUGCCUUGUCAUAUUUGUAAUCCCAUCAAACCUUGAAUGACAUUAAUAUUCUUUACCACAAUAGUUGCACCUACAUUUGUUUGGAUUAUCUUCGAGUAAAGUGCAAUGGUUCCAUACUUCCAAUCUUUUCUUCAUUGGCGGUCUUUUCCGCUUUGCCUUUUCCUUUCCUCUUUAAGUUCCUUCCAUUUGUAUACUUUGUUCUUCAUCGUCACUUUUUGAAUUCAAUCUUGAGUGUCCAAGCAUCUAAAUAUAUAAAAUAAUCAUUAAUUCAAAAAUAAUCUAAUUAGUAAUUUCAAUUCAAAUAGUUCAUACUCCAUAAAUCAAAAGCAAGAAAUUCAUGAUUAAUUAAUUAAUUUAUAAUAUCCAAUUACCCAUUCCCCAUAAUAAUAUGAUAUUAUUUGCCUAUCUAUGUCCUAAUUCUUAUUAUAAAGUAUAAACCCUUUGAUUUCAAGUCCAAAUUGAUUAACAUACAAUAAAAUAUUAAUUUAAUUAAUUAAUUUUUUAAGGUUGAAGGUUUAAAGCUAUUGCACAAGUGCACAUAAUCACAUAACACAAUAACACAUUAUAAUUAGAAAAAAUAUGUAACAUCAUAUUUAAUUUUAAUAUUUAAUCUACCUAAUCUCCUAAUUUAUUAAAAAAAAUUAAUAAUUGUUAUUAACAAUUAUUAACAAUUAUCAAUUAACGUUGAUAUAUAUCUUAUCAUUAACAAAUAUUUUGUUAUUUAUUAACAAUUAAUAAAAAUUUAUUCAUAACAAAAUCAUAAAUACAUCAAUUUUUUAUUUUAUUACUAACAUUUAAAAAUACAUAAUUACAAAUUUACAACAAUUAAACAAUAAUCAAUUACAUAAUAAAUAACCAAUUAAGCAAUAACUAAGAAGCAUAUAUAACUAUAUAAUAUACCAUGAAAGAUUGAAAUUGAAACUUGAAAGUCAAAGCUUCAAAUCGGUCCGGGUAAGAAUGGGAGGAACUCGGGUCGGGUUGGUCCUGUUGGAACUUGGAACUUGGAAGCUUCGGCCUUGGGCUUGGAGGCUUGGAGUAGCAGAUCGGCCGACGGUGGAACACGGCAAGCGGCAGUAGAUCGAGGCAACAGAUCACGACAGUAAGAAGUAGGCAGAUCGAGGCAGCAGAUCACGGCAGCAGGAAGUGGGUAGAUCGUGGCAGCAGGAUGUGGGCAGCAGAUCGCGGCAAUGGGCACUAGGCAGCAGAUCGCGGCGUGGCUGACUGGCUGUGGCCUAUGUGUGCGUGGGUAGGGAUGGCAAUGGGGAGGGGAGGGGAGGGGACCGAUCUCCCCGUUUUCCCAUCCCCGAUAUUUUGCGUAUGUCCCCGUCCUCUCCCCGUCCCCAUCAGAAUUACUUGAGAGAAUCAUCAUCCCCUCCCCGAAUAAUAACAGGGGAUCCCCGAGGGUCCCCGAUCCCCGAAUAACUAAUACAUUUUUUUUUUGUUUUCGAUUUUGAGUUAAUCAUAUUAAAAUAAAAAAUUCAAAUAAAAGUAAAGUUCAAAAUAUAUCUUACAUUAAUAUCUAUUACAAAAGUCACAUAUACAGCAGGUGGCGUGGGCACUUUAUAAAUGUGGACUAUUCCCUUUACAACACAAUAGUUAAAUCAGAGCAAAUUAAGAGCAAAUAUUAGAUUUGAUUAAAUUAGAUAUUAAAAUUGUGAUUCGCUGUGGACAAUUAUAACAUUUAAAAAUAAAUAAAUAAUAGAUUUAAUAUUAAAAUAUUUACUGCUGAAAAUAUUUAAAGAAUAUUAAAAUUAUAAAAAAAUGUUUGGCUAAUAGAAUCUACUCGGACUUUUUAAUGUCCUAAAUAAAAAUUUAGGACUUUAAUUAGUUAAUUAGGCCUAAAAGUUUAAUAAUAUAAAUAUUUUGAUAUUUUUUAUUUUUACCAAUAUUUAUAAUUUUAUAAUUUAAAUUUUAUUAUUUAUUUACUGGUAAUUUUAAAAAAUUAAAAUAAAAUUAAAAAUUAAAAUGAGGAAAUGGGUAGGGGAUGGGGAUUCCACCUCAUCCUCGUCCCCUCCCCGAAUAAGAAAUUGGGUAAAAAAAUUUCCCCGUCCCUUCCCCGAAUAAGAAAUUAGGUAUGAAAUUAUCUCCAUACCCUCCCCGAAUGGGAAAAAUCCCCGAGGGUACUCGUCCCCGUGGGGAUUUUUGCCAUCCCUAUGCGUGGGUGGGUGGUUGGCUGCUAUGUGUGCUCUAUGUUCCGUGGAGACUAGAGAGUGGAGUGGCUGUGGUGUGGCGGUUGGCUUGUGUGUGUGAGUUGUGAAUCUUGUGAUUUUGUUUUUGUGUGUGAGAGCUGAGACUUGAGAGUUGAGAGUCAUAGACUCACAGUUGUGAUUUUGUGUGUGUAACUGUGAGUGAGUGGUUGUGGUGUGUGCUGCGUGCGUGUUCGCUGUGUGUGUGUGUAAUAUGUUUUUUUUUUUAGGUGAUCCGAUCGGGUAUUCGGAUUCGCCGAUCGGGUAUUCGAGUUCGGGUGACUCGAUUACAAUCCGAUCGGGUCAGUAACUUUUUCACCCGAUUGGGUUUUAGUAACAACCCGAUCCGACCCGAACCCGAAAAUUUUCGGUUGGGUAGGGUAAAAUGCCCACCCCUACUCAAGGGUUUGUUAGUUUUUAAGUAAUUUUAUUGGCAUGUCAUUCGAAAUUGAAUCGUGGGGAAGUAGUGAGUCAAAAAAAAUUUUGUUCCAAGAGGUAUGAUCUAAUAAUUUUUAAGUAGUUUUAUUUAGAGGUUGUUUGUUAAAUGUCUAAAGUCUGAAAUUUUAUUAAUUUCAGACAUUUUUUAAAAUUUUCUUGUUUGUUUUUUAGAACUUAUGUUUGAUUUUCAGACAUUUACAUCUGAAUAGAUAAAAGUAAACUUUUUGUGACUUUUAUCUGAAUGAGAAAAUGUCUUAAUGACAAGUAAAUAUUAUAUGCCAAAAAUAUCUCUAUAAACUAACUUAUUUCCUAAACUAUAAAAUGUAAUUCUUUUUUUGUUUUAAUUUACAAGGACAUAAAUGUCAAACAACUAAGUUUAAGAUGUUUUUUAUUGUAAAAACUAACAAGAUGCCACUUAUAUUCAGAUAUUAAAAAAAGAAAAACAAACAUGUCAUUCAGAUUUUCAUAUUCAGACCUAUUCAAACUUUAGAAAAAUUCAUACCCAUUUAGCUUUCAGACAAAAAAACAAACGCUACCUAGUUAGCCAUUGAAUUUGAAUCAUGGGAGAAAAUUGAUUUGGACUUUGCCCAUCCCUCUAGCUGUUAGGUGAAAAAAAAAUUGUGUUCCAAAUAAUGCAUUGUUUGACUUGACCAUUAUGCACUACAAGGUGUAUGGUAACCCCUAAAAGUGUCAUGUUAUCUGUCACAUAUGUUGUUAAUAUAAAAUUUAAUAUUUUAGCUUCAUAAAAAUGUUGUUUUUCAAUUCAUAUUCAUGAAAAGCAGAAAAAGAUUAUAGGAAUGCUUGUGCCCACGUAAAAAUAAUAUUAGAUAUUAAGUAGAGAAGUCCACUUCAUUUUAAAUUUGAAAGGUAAUUUUUAACUUAAUAUUUGAUAGUUUUUAAUGUUGUCACAUUAUAUUUUUCGUAUAGGUUAAAACCACAAAUUUUGUACUGUAAUUAGAAUGUGGCCCUUUCAGAAGCAAGAACAGAUUCAUUCAAUUCAAAGAAUUCUUCGACACACUAAAGACAACAUAGAAUAUUGAGCAGGCCCAUUUCCUCAUGGAAGCCCUCUUCACUUUGAAUUUUGAGAUUCUGACAUUGCUAUGAAAACGAUGAAACUGAAGCAAGCAAUCUUCAUCUUCUGGAUGAGCUUAUAUAGCUUUUUGUAAUCCUCAUACAAUGAGCGAAUUCAAAGGAAAGAGACAUUGAUAUGGUAUGGUCCAUCCUUGAAAAUUGCAAAAGUUGGCUAGCAGAUCCAAUUAAAUUGUUUUUUCGAUUCAUAAUAAAAUAUAUUUAUAUUCUUUUUCAAAAUACGCUAAACAUUUAAUAUCUUUAGUUUGGUUUUUAUUUUAUUUUUUUUAAAGAAUCAAAAGCUAUAUGAGCUAAAUUGUAUAGGUACGAGGUUAAAGGCUUAGAGCCUUCUUAAUCCCAUACCGUAUUUUAUGAUUGUCCAUGUAACUAUCUUUAUACUUAAUGAAAAAAAUAUUUUCUCGUAUCGACUUAUAGAGUCAUGCUCAUAUUUGAAUGAACAAAUUUUAUAAAUAAUUUGAAUUAAAAUUAGAAUUAUACAGUAAAAUCUUUAUAAAAUAAUAUAAAUAUUUAUAUUAUUAUUACAAAAGGGUCGGUGUAUCUUGAAAAAGACUUGUGUGAACAUUAUUUAAAACAAGAGAAUCUCAGUAACUAUUUUAAAUAAUCAAACCGUUGCAAUCUUUUUUCUAUAACAAUAAAAAAAUACUCUCCAAAUUUUCUUUUUCAAAUCUUUUAGAGUUGUUACGUAAAAAUUUUUUUUAUAAUGUAUAUCAAAUGUAACACAAUCAAUUAUUAUACGUAUGAUAUAUGUAAUUAAAUUUAUUACAAUUAUUAUUUAUAUAUUGAUAUCUUAAAAUAAAUAAACAUAUGACAUAAUAUCAUUUAUUUAUUAUAUGACUGGUAGAAUAAUUUUCAUAUAUUUUAAAAUUUGUUUAAUGGAAGAUUGUUAGAACCCUAAUAUUAAAUAAACUAUCAAUAAAAGAGAGAGAGAAAAUGGCGGGUAGUAACUAAUAAAAGAAACGACGUCAAGGGCCAGACAAAAAGCAAAUGCGUUAAUUCAGACAAACUACGGGUACUCUUUCUCUUUCGAUUUUUGAAUCUCAGAAUCAAAACCCAAAAACGAAAAAACAAAAAACAGAAAACCAAAACAAAACGAACACAACAUUCUUUAGCGUUAUUGAUGUGGGAUACAUUCACCUUUGCUUGAUUCCUUUCUUUCUUUCUAUUUAUUUAUUUCUUAAUUCUUGCCAUAUAUGGCUAAGGACAAGCUCCAGCACUUUGAUUCUCUAUCCAAGGGCAUGAUUAUCUUUGUUCUUCAUUCUUUUGCUUGCAUGCUUUUGUUGAAUAUCUUCAUUUUCUUUAUUUGUGUCAGCAGCUUAUCUGUUUAUAGACAAUGAAUUGAUUCGAAUAUGUAGUUUUUUUUUUUUUUAAGUUUUAUUUGGUUUUCUGGAAAAAAAUGCUUUUUGUGUUAGAAGAGAUAAAUGUACAUAUGAAGACAUUGUUGGAUUGAUGACAUGGUAUCUGUAGUUUCUUGAGGGGCCUUGUUGAAAUGGAUAGUUGAUGCUAAAAUGUCCAAGAGAAUAAUAUCUGUUGAAAUCGUAUGGGCUACAGUUUGUUCAUUUUACGAUGAGUGUUUCUGUAGAUGUCAAAAUAAAAAAGUCGUUUUACAUCAAUAGGCAGUCAAAGAAUUCAGUGUGUGUCUCCUUUAUGUAAUUCACUAAUUUUAAUCUAUUUCUAUCGAUUGAUGGACGAUAAAACACCUUGUCAACCUCUUGAUAUUAAUCUGCAGUUUUGAUCAGGUUCAACAAGCUUGUAGCUGAAGUUAUUUGCCACUCAAGUAGGUUCAAGAUUUAAAGGUGCACAUUGUGACUUAUGGGAAAGCAUAUACAGAAGAAACACCCUCGCAUUUGUGUUCCGGGUGGUCAUCCUGGAUGCGCAUGGGGUCUUAUACUUCAUGUCGUUAGGUACCCCGACUGGCAUUAUGUGAAGAAAAGACUUCCACAUAGGAAGCAUGGUGGUAAUAAACGGGCCCCAGGUGAGAUAAGUUUAGUUACCAUUUAUCUCGAAAAGUUUCCAUUCAAAUGUUGUAAUUUCCUAGUUCUUUAGCUGCUCUGGCAGUCCAAAUACCAUGUUUCUGUGAGAGACCUGGUUUGUUAUAGACUUAACUAUCUUUCUAAUUGAUCUUAUCAUACUAAACAUGGUGCACUACAUUUACAAUUUAUUACCAUCGAGUCUGUCUGUUCUUGGCUUCUAUACAAUGCCAAAUUUCAUGAGCACCCGUUGAUGAGUUAAAAACAGAUUUAUCCUGCUGAAUGACAGUAACCAUUUGCAGCUGCCUUUGAUUUCAUUAAGUAGUAUAUAGCAAUCUCAUGGACUUUUCUUGUUACAGAGUACUUGACAUUUGCGAAGAAUUAACUCUUGAAUGCAUACAUGUUAACAACCAAGUUUUGGCUUGCAGGGGAUGAAAACCCAAGAGACAAAAAGAUCCAAAAUGCUGAUAAGUUGCAAGAAACUAACAAUGACCAAGUGAACAGCUCUCAUGUAAGUUCUUCGAUAAUGAUCUUCAUUAGCAUAUUCGUCUUUGGUUCUGGUUCCUCUAUCUAGGAUUUUGACCUGUAGAUAAAAUUACAGAAAAUUAAGAUCUAGUCUGUAUUUUCCAGGUUCAGGAAGUGAGACAGACAACUCCAACAAAGCAAAAUUCUGUCAAAGCUCAGAAAAAAUCUCUGGUCAACGAAGAGUUUUCUAAGAGGAAGGGCCAACAUCACCGAACUUCAACCUAUCCUGUACGAUCACGAUUGACACGUACUAAUUCCAUUCAUCAUUUAAAAGCUUCACAUGAGGAUUUCCUUUCUGUAAUAACAUCAAAUGAUGGAAGUCUCGAAAUUGCUUAUAGAGGAAACAAAGACUCCAACAAAAUCAGCUCAAUGGAUUCACUUCUAGAAAAGCCUUUUGACGAGCCAUUUGCCAAUGGAGAAACAGGUGAAAACUGCCAGGUUGAUGAGAACAAAAAGCAAGCUUCCGUGGAGCAGAACUUGAUAAACAAGGAGCCUACUACAGAUGCUUCCCUUCAUCGGUCAAAGGAGUUUCUGGAUGCUCUAGAUACAAUAAAUUUCAAUAGAGAAUUCUUUCAAAAAGUUUUGCGUGACCCAAGCUCUCCAUUUUCUCAUCACUACCACAAUCAACAUGUACUCAACACUCGAAUGGGAUUAACUAAGUCUGAGAGUUUCCCUUUACCUGGCUUAUCAGGCAGAAGAGUUCCUGGGCCAAGCAGACUCAAGCGAAAGCAGGAUGUCAAUAGGUCUUGUGAAAAAGAAGAAGAUAUCGGUAAGAAGUCAAUCCAAUCAACAGAAGUUGAGUACAGAGAAGACGGAAUCCAAAAACUAAACCAAGCAGCAGCAGACAUUGCCAAUAAUUCUUCUUCAGGUUCAACCCACCAUUUUAAUAAUCCUGGCAGGAGUCAAGUGGCGAUUAAGCAUUUCAAGGAUCUCAAACAGAAGAUAAAACAUGCAAUUAAAGAGAGCAAAAGUGAAAGGCAUCGAAUCACCAUGGAUGCAAUCCUUCAUAAACUACCUCGUAACCAGGGGUUCUCCAAAGACUUGAAUAAUGAAACUCUUGAUCAGCUAAAGGACCCUUCUCUCACGAGUGACUGUAAACGCAGUCGUUCAAGUAGACGUCACCAUAUGAGAAGGACAUCAUCUGUAAAUGAAACACUCGAUAGAUACUGUCAAUUGUAUGAAUCUACAUUCAAAAGGGAAGCCAAACAGCCUGUCUCUGAGAAAUUAAAAGUAAAAAGAGAAGAGGAGGCAUCGCCUUCUAGGAAUACUACCAAAUCUCUGGGAAGGAUUUUCUCCUUACCUGAGAUUAAAUCUUAUUAUUACCAGAAUGAGGGAUUUUCCGAUGCCUAUUCUUCUUGGAUGCCAGUCAGGAUUUUGGAUGAAGAAACUGGAAGUCUAACUAGUGUAGGUGAACAAAAUAGCACGGAUGGGCCUAUGGCUUCAGAAUACUGCUCGCAAUUAGAUACUCCUGCGGAAAGUCAAAUUCAAAACUUGGUAGAGGUUAGUCAAACAGACUCUGGUGCUGGAGAUCAAGUGGGUUCAACAUCCAUUGUGGACAGUAUUAUGGAGGUGGAUAAACUCAGUGAUGAUCUGAUCACCUUGACGACAAGGGACAGUGCAUCAGAUGGCGAGUUAGAUCUUGAUGCUAAAGCAACCGAACCAAGUCCUGUCACAGUGUUUGACUUCAAUUCUCAAGAGGUCAGAGAAAGCGCUGCAGAAUUUUCUUUUUCAGAAGGUAUGUUACUUUUGCAACUUAUUUUAUUACCUUACACCACAACCUAAGUAUACAAUCUCAAAGUACACCAACUUUGACUACUUAAACCGAAUCGUCUGUGACCUGAAAGAUCCUAAUCUUCUGACAUUCUUUAGGUUAGGUGUCUGACAGAUUUUAGCUUUCAGAGCAUCAUCUUUAAAAUUUUCUUUUCCAUGAACAAGUACAACUGAAUGAAGCUGUCUUGCUAAUUUAAUUUUAUUUCCGUUGAUUGAUUCUUGGAAGUUUGCUUGCCUUUGUUCACUGACAAUUGUAUUUUAACGGGUGAAACUGAUGCUUUAUGAAUGUGCGUUGCAUGAUUCAGAGUCACAAGAGAUGCUAGAAUUUCUAAUUCCUGGUGUACACGAUACUUUGACUGGCCAUCAACAUGAAUCCAGCAUCGAUGCCUCUCUAGUAACUCAUAGAAGUGUGUUAGAGAAAGUACAUUUUCCGAGCAAGCAUCUAUAUAUUGACAUUCCCCAUGUUCAAGUGGAUGCAAAAGACAAAGCUAAAUUUGAUUAUGUAAAAUACAUACUGGAGCUGACCGGCUUCAGUGGGACUGAGUCUCUUGGGACUUGGCACUCUGAUGAUCAGCCAGUAGAUCCUUCAGUAUAUGAAGAAGUGGGAGGUUGCAUUCUCCUUGAUCCCGACUGUUCUGGAAAUGAAGGUGGUAAUUGUAAUCACGUGCUUUUCUUUGAUUUAAUCAAUGAGACAUUGAUGGAGAUAUACGAGAGAUCAUACAGUUACUAUCCUAAGCCCUUGUCUUCCCAAUGUUGCAUCCCUCAAAUGCCAGCAGGAAACCGUGUUCUUAAGGAGGUCUGGAGAAAUAUAAGCAGGUACUUGAGCUUGAGACCUGAACUUGAUCAGUCAUUGGACUAUAUCACAAGUAGCGAUUUAUCAAAGAACAACGGGUGGAUGAGCCUGCAAUUCAACUCCGAGUGUGUGGCACUUGAGGUGGAGGACUUAAUCUUUGAGGAUCUUUUGGAGGAAGCAAUCUUUUCAGGAGUCUGUCGCUGAGGAUCAGGAGGUGGCUUCCUAAGGUUCCUUUUUCACCUCACUCAUAAAAUUUUGCCCUUUUGAGUUACUCUGUAAUUAAUAGUGUUUAUUAAAUACCAUAGAUAGAACACAGAAGAUAUAGGAAGAAGAAUAUGUAUCUGUUUAAUAGUGAUAAAUACAUACAUACACAUACAUACAUAUUGUAUAAUUAAAAAUAUGCAUUUUGAUCUGUAUAUUAACAAAAAAAUAAAAAAUAAAACUUGCGGUUUGAGAAAGGAAAUAAAGUUGGGAAUUUGUUAGAUGGUGGAUUAUUUUUCCUCAUUAAUCAAAAGAAAUCAUUUAUCUACUCCUGAAACCUUUAUCUGGUGAAUAUGUGGCUAAAAGAAUUAAGAUCUUUUCCUAGUAUUUUUCUCUCCUAGUUUGUCAUAAUUUUUCAAAUUUAAUGGAAAAAAGCUGGUUUAAUUAUAAAUAAAAUAAUUAAAGCUGGUUUAAUUGUCAAUAUUAAAAUUUAAAAUUCAAUCUUAUCUACUUAAUUCACUAGGAAAGAUUAGGAGAGAAAAAAAAACUAGGAGAGAAUCUUUGUCCGGCUAAAUGGUUCUUGCCUCCUAGCAUUUUGAAAUGUGCAAAUUUUCGUCCGAAAAGAUUCAAAUGCUAGAAAGAUAUUUAUAUAAUAUCGUGCGAUUGGAUGCAACAAAGCCCGUCUAGCUCAGUCGGUAGAGCGCAAGGCUCUUAACCUUGUGGUCGUGGGUUCGAGCCCCACGGUGGGCGGCCUUUUUUUUCUUUCUUUCAAGGUCUCAUCACUAAAUAUCACUAAAUCAUUCCUCCGUGCUGCACAAUUGGGGCCCAAUUGUUUUUCGUUUGUUGGGCUUUCUGGAUUCAGGUCUAUGUGAGUGACCCACUACAUUUUAAACAAAACAAAGAAAAUAUACAAAAUUUUAACUGGCCCAUCAGUUUGUUUUGGUAGAAAGCAAGCAGUCGCAGUUCUCAGUCCUAGGUCAUGCUUUGGCGGUGACUCACCUUUAAUCAAUGGAUUGGAUUUAUCACAAAAAAGCUUUCAACACUGGUGACGUUUUCAACCCCAAAUUUUUUUUAGGUCUCUUCGAUUUCACCCUCCACCUGGCUCUCUCCUAUUCUACGUACACAUAAUGCCCACUACGCACUGUCGAAAAAGCAGGAGAGGGACGUUACGUUUCACGGUUUCAGCAUUUAAUUUGUAACAAAACAUCACCGUCAGUAAUUCUAAACGACAGUAUUUGUAACAAAACUUGGCUUUUAAUUCACACAUUAAAUGUAACAGUGGCUUUUCAGGCCAAUGGACUACGGGUCCAUUAGCACACCUAUGCGCCCAACAAUCUUGGGUGCAUGGGUUCGACUCCUAACGCUAAUACAGUGUUAAAAUUUAAUUUUUUUAUAUAAUAAAGAUUUAUUUAUCUUCUUACAUUAUAAGAGAAUUAAUUUCUUUUUAAUAUUAAUAAUGAGGAUGGAUCUCUCUUUAAUUUCAAGUGAGGAUUGACAUUCAGAUUAUCUUCAAUUAUUCAAGAAAGAUUUUUUUUAAUUAUGAAUAUCAGUAGAGCUCUGAUAGUAAUAUAUCAAUGUAUAAAAAAAAAAUAUAACAGUAAUUUCUCACAUUUUCAAAACAAACGCAACUCAUGUACGUAGAGAGAUCGGCGUCUUCACGUAGUUUACAAACGUAGUUUACAAUGUGGACAACUAUGUUAUCUUUAAUUCAUCCUGUCACGAUCAAAGGAAGUAAGAAAUUCAAUGACAAUGAUUUGAUAUUAUAAUGGGAUAUUUCCUAGACCCUUCUUUGAUGACUUCGAUGGCUAAAAGCAAAGUCAUAUAAAUAAUUUUUUUUAUAUAUAGAGACCAUACUUGUUCCCCUUAGUGGGAAGCGUUCACCAUUCAAGUUCAUGAAAAGUUGGCAUUAAAAUCACCGAGUCCGAACCUCUAAUUGCAUACGGUACCGAAUGCUAAGUGGCACAAACGCGGCCCCAAGAUAAGCUGCAAACGUAACUCUACAAGAGGGGUCCGCAUUUGAUCCAUCUUGAUCACGGUCAACUUCUAUUGGACGGUCAGGGAAAAAAGGAUGACGCACCAAACAAGGAAGACUCAGUCAACAAAGAUAAAGAGGACCGGAGGCAAACGCGUGAUCCAUAUCCGGAAGGAGGUUAUAGAUUUUUAUUUUUUGGUUUUUGGACGUAAACCUUAGAGAUAAGCAUGGUUUAAAAUAUUGACACGUGUAUGGUCAGCAACCGCCUUUCAUCACUAUAAAAUCCAACUCCCGGGGAUAUUUUUCUAUUGUAGCGCUUCAGUGGUUUUUCGCCGUACAUCAAGCAUCAUAUAAUCAACUGUUUGUUCCAAUCUUUCAUAAGAAUCCGAAAAUGGCUGGAUCCGGUGGAAGUGUUCCUGCUCAGGCUACUGAUUUCUCCUAUGAAGGGUAACUAUUUAUGUUCAUAAAACUUUUCUGUUAUUUUUAAUUUUUAAUUUAUUUUAAGCUUUUGAUUUGCUAAAAAAAAUCAUAUGGUGACGUUGCAGUGACAAUAAGAAUGUUAUCGCCGAGAGCCUUGAAGUAGUUCCUGAAGUUGCACCAGAGAAAGUGUACGUGUCUUUUGUUUUUAAUACGGGCAGAACACACACGUAUAUAUAUACGUGUAUAGCAAUAUUUUAAUCCGAAAUUUUAAAGUGCGGAAAAAUUCAGAAAAAUAUUUCAAUCCGCACGGUUAAGCGUUUUAAGUUUUAAAUCUCUUAAAUUCUAUGGUUUUAAAGAUCUUUUGAAAUUUUUUCGUAUUUUAAGAUCCGGAUCGCAAAAAUUAUAUAUAUUUCCAUUUGAAUGAAUUAGUUGUCUAUAAAUGAGUGAUUUUGUGGACUCAUGUGUGCACGGUUGCAGGAACGAGGGAGACGACAACGGCGGCUGCAAGUGCAACCCAUGCAACUGCAACCCGUGUAACUGCAGCAAAUGAGAGACAGAUGCGCCAUGCGGCCUAUGGAAUUAAUUAACCAGCUGCCUGUUUAAAAGCAUAUAUAUGGAUCUUUUUUAAAUAAGAAC
rnacentral:lncRNA from 1 species